GUGCCAGCCGCCGCGGUACUACCGGCAGCCCGAGUGAUGGCCGAUCUUAUUGGGCCUAAAGCGCCCGUAGCUGGCCGGACAAGUCCGUUGGGAAAUCCACCCGCUUAACGGGUGGGCGUCCAGCGGAAACUGUCCGGCUUGGAGCCGGAAGACCUGAGGGGUACGUCCGGGGUAGGAGUGAAAUCCCGUAAUCCUGGACGGACCGCCGGUGGCGAAAGCGCCUCGGGAAGACGGACCCGACAGUGAGGGACGAAAGCUGGGAUCUCGAACCGGAUUAGAAACCCCUGUAGUCC
rnacentral:rRNA from 1 species